ensembl:lncRNA
GUCCCAUACACACCCAUUAUAAACUCUGAAACGGCUGAAAAAACAUCAUGAAACUUAAACUGGAACUGAAGAAAAAGUAUAAUAGAUAUUGAAAAGAUAAAUACAAGUUGAAUAGUUGAAUGUCUUGUCUUCGUUUUAAAGUUUGAAUGGUGGCUCUAUGUCAAUGUAUGUGGAAGUAGAUACAGUUUAAAGAGGAUGAAGUUGAAUGAGAAUUUGAAGGGUCUCCCCAUUGAAAUACAUUAUAAAUUUUUGUUGAAAAAAGUUGAAUAAAAUUAAAAAUAUAAAUGUUAAAAAUGAGAAAAAUAGAAGCAAUGUUGUCCAAAAGAAUAGGAAUCUAACGGUGUUUGAAUGGUUUUUCUAAGUUGAACGGUUUUGAAGGAGUUGGCUUUCAAAAAACGUACGGAAUAGAUAAUAAUAACUAGAAAGUGCAUUUUCUGAAGAAACUGCAGUGUGAAUGCUUGAAUCUGAAUGUAUGCACUGAAAUGAAUUAAUUGCUGAAUUUUGAGUUAAAAAUAUUGAAUGAAAUUAAAAAAAAAAACAAAAAAAAAACAACCAAAUUUAACCUGAAAACAAAGGUGCUGAACUGCUAAAAGCUGAAGGUUACACAGAAGCAGAAGUUGGAAAAAAGCUGAAAAUGUUUUAAAUGUAAAUUAGAAAACCCUAAGAAAUGAGAAAAGAACAUUUAGAGUCAGAAAACAUCUGAAUGAAUAUUAAAAGGUCAUAUUCUUUGAAUCACUGAAUGAAGAAAAUGUGAUCCCUCCACUUUGAUCCACACAGUUUAAAAAGUUUAAAUGCCUGAGCUUUGAAAGACACGGUGUUGGAAAGAGAACAAUAAUGGCGACAAUUUGAGGGUAAAAUGAUGGCUGUAACACUGUGGACACAGCAACAGUUGAAAGAGAAGUGCUUAAGAUGAAUCUUGGCACAGUGGCAGGCAGAGCUCGUUAAGCAGGCAGGUGUGAGCCUGGUUGCUAUAGUGACCGCACCCAAUGGCUCCAUACACACGUACACAGACAUGCACCUCACUUUUGCUGCUUAAAAUGAACAGAAAAGUCAGGCCGAAACAAAUCGUUCCCAAAUGAAAAGUAAAAGUCGUAUUGACAAAAUUCUUUCACCGUGAGUGACAGCAGCUUCUAGUCUACUGAAUUCUCAGUUUUCAUGCCUGUGGAGUUUAUUAUAUGGACGUGGUGACAGUGGAAAGACACCAUGCUCUUCUGAUUUUCAAACGAACCUUCUGAGACAUUUUAACAUUGGAGUCUAUGGAAGAGUUGGAGGGAGGAGGCUGUGCAUUGGUGACAUUUAUGAAAGAACCAUA